UUUCUUUGUGAAGGCUUUUAAUUCAGGUUGUGGAAUUGGAAGGGUUGCUACUAAAGAUGCAGACCCUCUGCUUUGAGAAGGUGUCCCAUCCUCCUCAUAAAGAUUCCACCCUGACAAUCCCACUGGCUCUGAUUCAACAUUUGUUUCUCUGCGCCCGCUUGAAAAUUUACUAGAACUAGAAUGGCUCUGAGAAAAUUUCAAGUCAUCAUCUAACUCAUAGCCCCUCUGCUUUUCUGCCUCUUCAAGACUGAGCAAUCGGGCAACCAUCAUUUCUCUACCACCAACAAGAGACAAUCCAUUAUGUCUACAACGUCUUUCAAGCUCAGCAAGAGGAAGACUCAUUAGUUCCUUCACAGCAGCUCCUUUGCCCAUUGCCAAUGCAGCAUCUUGGUUGAUCUUUCCUCCAUCACCUAUAUCUUCUGAGUUAAACUUUUUUUCUAUUUCUGGUGCAUCACCACAUAUAGAAUGAAAAGAGAUAACACCCGAAGUACUAGAACGUAGAAAGGUAGCCCGCAAUCCAUUCACAUAUGCAUCUGAAAAUAGAAACCAGUCUGACCAUAC
rnacentral:misc_RNA from 1 species